CGUACUCCCCAGGCGGGGUGCUUAAUGCGUUAGCUACGGCACCGCAGGGGUCAAUGCCCGCGACACCUAGCACCCAUCGUUUACGGCGUGGACUWCCAGGGUAUCUAAUCCUGUUUGCUCCCCACGCUUUCGCGUYUCAGCGUCAGUCGUCGUCCAGGAAGCCGCCUUCGCCACCGGUGUUCCUCUCGAUAUCUACGAAUUUCACCUCUACACCGAGAAUUCCGCUUCCCUCUCCGACACUCAAGCCAAGCAGUUUCGAGUGCACUUCCCAGGUCGAGCCCGGGGCUUUCACACCCGACUUGCCAAGCCGCCUACACGCGCUUUACGCCCAGUAAUUCCGAACAACGUUUGCACCCUCUGUCUUACCGCGGCUGCUGGCACAGAGUUAGCCGGUGCUUGCUAAAGAGGUACCGUCAUCAUGCUGGAUAUUAGCCAACACUUAUUCGUCCCUCUCCACAGAGCUUUACAACCCGAAGGCCUUCAUCACUCACGCGGCGUCGCUGCGUCAGGCUUUCGCCCAUUGCGCAAGAUUCCCCACUGCUGCCUCCCAUAGGAGUCUGGACCGUGUCUCAGUUCCAGUGUGGCUGAUCAUCCUCUCAGACCAGCUACCCGUCUUCGCCUUGGUAGGCCGUUACCCUACCAACUAGCUGAUGGGCCGCAGGCUCCUCCUCAAGCGCCAGCUUUCAUGAAUUGGCCGGCUUUGACCUCAAGUCCUCUCGAACUCGUGGUCUCAUGCGGUAUUAGCCCUCCUUUCGGAAGGUUAUCCCCCACUCGAGGGCAGAUUACCUACGUGUUACUCACCCGUGCGCCGCUUUACCGGGGAUUGCUCCCUUUCUCGCUCGACUUGCAUGUGUUAAGCGCGCCGCUAACGUUCGUUCUGAGCCAGAAUCAAACUCU
rnacentral:rRNA from 1 species